CUCAGACUGAUCUCUGUCCUGACUGCCGUGAACCUCCACCCUCAACCAUGGGUGACUCUCUGAUGGCCGAGUUCGGGAAGGCUGCUCCUUACCUGAGGAAGUCUGACAAGGAGCGCCUGGAGGCCCAGACUAGACCUUUUGACAUCAAGACCGAAUGCUUUGUCGUCGACGAUAAGGUCGAAUACAUGAAGGGAAAAAUCCAAAGCAAAGAUGGAGGGAUGGUAACUGUCAAGAAGGAGGAUGGAACAACAGCGACGGUGAAGGAGUCGGAUGUCCACCCUCAGAAUCCACCAAAAUUCGAUAAAAUCGAAGACAUGGCAAUGUUCACUUUCCUCCACGAGCCAGCUGUGCUGUUUAACCUCAAAGAGCGUUACGCUGCCUGGAUGAUCUACACCUACUCUGGCCUCUUCUGUGUCACUGUCAACCCCUACAAGUGGCUUCCCGUCUACGACGCUGAGGUGGUGGCAGCGUACAGAGGGAAGAAGAGAACCGAGGCUCCCCCUCACAUCUUCUCCAUCUCUGAUAAUGCCUACCAGUACAUGCUGACUGACAGGGAGAACCAGUCCGUCCUCAUCACUGGGGAAUCUGGAGCAGGGAAGACUGUAAACACCAAGAGGGUCAUCCAGUACUUUGCCAGCAUCGCUGCUGUCGGUGGAGGCAAAAAAGACACCAGCAAGGGGACGCUGGAGGAUCAAAUCAUCCAGGCCAACCCGGCGCUGGAGGCGUUCGGCAACGCCAAAACACUGAGAAACGACAACUCGUCUCGUUUUGGAAAAUUCAUCCGAAUUCACUUCGGUACGAGUGGAAAGCUGUCGUCUGCUGACAUCGAGACAUACCUGCUGGAGAAGUCACGUGUCACCUUCCAGCUCAAAGCUGAGAGGAACUACCACAUCUUCUACCAGAUCCUGUCCAAUCAGAAGCCAGAGCUGCUGGACAUGCUGCUGAUCACCAACAAUCCGUAUGACUACUCCUACAUCUCCCAAGGAGAGGUGACGGUCGCCUCCAUCAACGACUCCGAGGAGCUGAUGGCCACCGACAGCGCCUUCGAUGUGCUCGGCUUCACUCCAGAUGAGAAGAUGGGCGUCUAUAAAAUGACGGGUGCCAUCAUGCACUACGGCAACAUGAAGUUCAAACAGAAGCAGCGUGAGGAGCAGGCUGAGCCGGACGGCACAGAGGCUGCCGAUAAAUCAGCUUAUCUAAUGGGGCUGAACUCUGCUGACCUCAUCAAAGGGCUGUGCCAUCCCAGAGUCAAGGUAGGAAAUGAAUAUGUGACCAAAGGCCAAAGUGUGGACCAAGUCUACUACUCCCUCGGUGCUCUGGCUAAGUCAGUGUAUGAAAAGAUGUUCAACUGGAUGGUGGUGAGAAUCAACCAAUCCCUGGACACCAAACAGCAUCGUCAGUACUUCAUAGGAGUGCUAGACAUUGCUGGAUUUGAGAUCUUUGAUUUCAACACUUUUGAGCAGCUGUGCAUCAACUACACCAACGAGAAACUGCAACAGUUUUUCAACCAUCACAUGUUCGUUCUGGAGCAAGAAGAGUACAAAAAAGAAGGUAUCGACUGGGAGUUCAUUGACUUCGGGAUGGACCUACAAGCUUGUAUUGACCUCAUCGAGAAGCCUCUGGGCAUCCUGUCAAUUCUGGAGGAGGAAUGCAUGUUUCCCAAAGCUAGUGACCAGACCUUCAAGUCCAAGCUCUAUGAUAAUCAUUUGGGCAAGAACAAGAUGUUUGAAAAGCCCAGAGCUGCAAAGGGGAAAGCAGAGGCUCAUUUUGCCCUGGUUCACUAUGCUGGCACGGUGGACUACAACAUCGGCAACUGGUUGGUCAAAAAUAAAGACCCCCUGAAUGAAACUGUGGUCGGUCUUUACCAGAAAUCAUCUGUUAAGCUUCUCAGUCUGCUGUUUUCAAGCUACUCAGGAACAGACAGCGGUGAUAAAGGAGGCGGCAAAGGAGCCAAGAAGAAAGGUUCCUCCUUCCAGACGGUGUCUGCACUUCACAGGGAAAACCUGAACAAGCUGAUGAACAACCUGAAGACCACCCAUCCCCACUUCGUCCGCUGCCUGAUUCCUAAUGAGAGGAAAACUCCAGGCGUCAUGGACAACUGCCUCGUAAUGCACCAGCUGCGCUGUAACGGUGUCCUGGAAGGCAUCCGAAUCUGCAGGAAGGGUUUCCCAAACCGGGUGCUGUAUGGCGACUUCAAACAGCGGUACAGGAUUCUGAAUGCCUCUGCCAUCCCUGAAGGCCAGUUCAUCGACUGCAAAAAGAGCACCGAAAAGUUGCUGGGCUCACUGGACAUCGACCACAGUCAGUACAAGUUUGGCCACACCAAAGUUUUCUUUAAAGCUGGCCUGCUGGGGACGCUGGAGGAGAUGCGAGAUGAGCAGCUCUCUCGAAUCAUCACCAGGAUCCAGGCCAGCGCCCGGGCGAUCCUCAUGAGGGCACAGUUUGCUAAGCUUGUGGAACGCAGAGAUGCUCUGAUGGUCAUCCAGUGGAACCUUCGAUCUUUUCUGGGUGUAAAAAACUGGCCCUGGAUGAAGCUCUUCUUCAAGAUCAAACCUCUGCUGAAAAGUGCUGAGUCUGAGAAGGAGAUGGCCAACAUGAAGGAUGAGUUCAACAAACUGAAAGAAGCUCUGGAAAAAUCAGAAACAAGACGGAAGGAACUGGAGGAGAAAAUAGUGAGUCUUCUCCAAGAGAAGAAUGACCUGACUCUGCAAAUUCAGUCUGAACAGGAUACACUAACAGACGCCGAAGAGCGCUGCGAACAGCUCAUUAAAAGCAAGAUCCAACUGGAGGCCAAGCUGAAAGAGAUGACAGAAAGACUGGAGGACGAAGAGGAGCUGAAUGCAGACCUCACAGCUAAGAAACGGAAGCUUGAGGAUGAAUGCUCCGAGUUGAAGAAAGAUAUAGAUGACCUGGAGCUGACUUUGGCCAAGGUUGAGAAAGAGAAACACGCCACGGAAAACAAGGUGAAAAACCUGACGGAGGAGAUGUCUUCCCAGGAUGAAAACAUCAUGAAGCUCACCAAAGAGAAGAAGGCACUACAGGAGGCUCACCAGCAGACACUGGAUGAUCUUCAGAGUGAAGAAGAUAAAGCCAACAGCUUGACUAAAGCCAAAGCCAAGCUGGAGCAACAGGUGGACGAUCUGGAGGGCUCGCUGGAGCAAGAGAAGAAAGUCAGGAUGGACCUUGAACGCUCAAAGAGGAAGCUUGAAGGAGACCUGAAACUGACCCAGGAGAGUUUGAUGGACUUAGAAAAUGACAAGCAGCAGCUGGAAGAAAAACUAAAAAAGAAAGACUUUGAGGUUGUCCAGAUAAACUCCAGACUAGAGGAUGAACAGGUUGCUUCAGUUCAGCUUCAGAAGAAGCUGAAAGAAAACCAGGCGAGAAUCGAGGAGCUAGAAGAGGAAAUGGACGCCGAGCGUGCAGCCCGAGCCAAAGUUGAGAAACAGCGCUCCGACCUUUCCCGUGAGCUGGAGGACAUCAGCGAGCGCCUGGAGGAGGCAGGUGGAGCAACAUCAGCACAGGUGGAGCUAAAUAAGAAGAGAGAUGCUGAAUUUCAGAGGCUGCGAAGGGAACUGGAGGAGUCCACCCUCCAACAUGAGGCAACCGCUGCCUCCCUGAGAAAGAAACAUGCUGACAGCGUCGCCGAACUUGGCGAACAGAUUGAUAAUCUGCAGCGUGUGAAGCAGAAACUGGAGAAGGAAAAGAGUGAGCUCAAGCUGGAGGUGGAUGACUUGUGUUCUAAUAUGGAGAGCGUGGUGAAGGCCAAGUCCAACAUGGAGAAGAUGUGUCGCACAAUGGAGGACAACAUGAACGAGUACAAGAGUAAAUAUGAGGAAGCUCAACGGACCAUCAAUGACCUGACUACCCAGAGGGCCAAGCUGCUCACUGAGAAUGGAGAGUUUGGACGGCAGCUUGAGGAGAAGGAGUGUCUGAUAUCGCAGCUGACCAGAGGGAAGAACUCAUACAACCAGCAGGUGGAGGAUCUACGCCGACAGCUGGAGGAAGAAGUCAAGGCAAAGAAUGCCCUCGCCCACGCUGUACAAUCUGCUCGUCAUGACUGUGAUCUGCUCCGAGAGCAGUUUGAAGAGGAGCAGGAAGCCAAGUCUGAGCUGCAGAGAGCUCUGUCCAAAUCCAACACAGAGGUCUCAGCCUGGAGGACAAAAUAUGAAACUGAUGGGAUCCAGAGAACAGAGGAACUGGAAGAAGCAAAGAAGAAGCUGGUUCAAAGACUGCAGGAGGCCGAGGAGGCGAUCGAAGCUGUGAACGCAAAGUGUUCUUCCCUCGAGAAGACCAAGCACCGCCUCCAAAAUGAGAUUGAAGACCUGAUGCUGGACCUUGAGAGAUCCAAUGCAGCAUCUGCAGCCCUGGACAAAAAGCAAAGGGCCUUUGACAAAGUCAUGGCAGAGUGGAAGCAAAAGUUUGAGGAGUCACAGUGUGAGCUGGAGGCCUCUCAGAAGGAGGCUCGGUCUCUGAGUACUGAACUCUUCAAACUGAGAAACGCCUAUGAAGAAUCUCUGGAUCAGCUUGAGACGAUGAAGAGAGAAAACAAGAACCUCCAAGAGGAGAUCUCUGACCUCACCGACCAGCUGGGCGAGGGUGGCAGAAGUGCUCAUGAACUAGAGAAGAUCCGGAAGCAGCUUGAACAGGAAAAGGCGGAGCUUCAGUCGGCACUGGAAGAAGCAGAAGGUUCUCUGGAGCACGAAGAGAGCAAGAUCCUCCGAGCCCAGCUGGAGUUCAACCAAGUGAAGGCCGACAUGGAGCGCAAGCUGGCUGAGAAAGAUGAGGAGAUGGAUCAGGCAAAGAGGAACUACCAAAGAAUGCUUGAGUCACUUCAGACCUCCCUGGAGUCUGAAACCAGGAGCCGCAAUGAGACCCUGAGAGUCAAGAAGAAGAUGGAAGGGGACCUCAACGAGAUGGAGAUCCAGCUCAGCCAGGCUAACAGGCAGGCAGCUGAUGCCCAGAAACAGCUUAAGAACCUCCAGGCGUUCCUGAAAGACUCUCAACUGCAGCUGGAUGAUGCACAGCAUGGCAACGAUGACCUGAGGGAGAACAUCGCUCUCCUGGAACGCCGACACAACCUGACCCAGGCCGAAUUGGAGGAGGUGAGGGCCGCCCUCGAGCAGACGGAAAGAAGCAGGAAGCUGGCUGAACAGGAGCUGACUGAUGCUACGGAGCGCAUGCAACUCCUGCACUCUCAGAACACCAGCCUGAUUAACCAGAAGAAGAAGCAUGAAGCAGACCUCCUGCACCUGCAGAAUGAGAUGGAGGAGGUCAUACAGGAGAACCGAAAUGCUGAGGAGAAGGCAAAGAAGGCCAUCACCGAUGCAGCCAUGAUGGCAGAGGAGCUGAAGAAGGAGCAGGACACGAGCGCCCAUCUGGAGCGCAUGAAGAAGAACAUGGAGCAGACCAUCAAAGACCUGCAACACCGCCUGGACGAGGCUGAGCAGAUCGCCAUGAAGGGUGGCAAGAAGCAGCUCCAGAAACUUGAGGCUCGCAUCAAAGAGCUGGAGAACGAGCUGGAGGCGGAGCAGAGGAGGGGAUCGGAGUCUAUCAAGGGGGUUCGCAAGUAUGAACGCCGCAUCAAGGAGCUGACCUACCAGACCGAGGAAGACCGCAAGAACAUGUCUCGCCUGCAGGACCUGGUGGACAAGCUGCAGCUGAAGGUCAAGUCCUACAAACAUGCGGCCGAGGAGGCAGAGGAGGCAGCGAACACCAACAUGGCCAAACUCCGCAAGCUGCAGCACGAGCUGGAGGAGGCGGAGGAGAGGGCCGACAUCGCGGAGUCACAGGUGAACAAGCUGAGGGCGAAGACCAGGGACGGAUCCUCCAAGAAGGGCCUGGACGAGUGACGACAUCCAGACAUCCAAACCAAGGUCUUCCUGUUCCUGGACGUCUGCAGGCGGCUGAAACCGACAGAAACAGAAACAAUCGGAGUUAUUAAUUAUUAAUUAUUAUUAAUUAACGAUUCAUUAGUUCACAUGUUUGACGGUGUGUCAUGUCCAGGUCUGUUGCUAUGGUUACCUGCAGGUGAAUUUAAUCUGUUUAAACAGACAGGUCGUGUUAUCUGUGUGGUUCUGAUCCAGAGAUCUCACACUCACUGUUUACCUUCAUGUCACACACACACACACUCUCUCUCUCUCACACACACACACACACACACACACACAC